rnacentral:miRNA from 1 species
UUAGCGUCAAGAGACGAACACACU